UGGUGACUGAAACCUUGUUGGACACAUGGAACAUUGGCUGUGGAUUCUUCUUGCUGCUCUUUUCUUUGAGUGUAAAGGAGAAGACAAAGUGAUGCAGCCAUCAGGAGAUGUUCCUGCUGCUGAAGGAGACUCAGUUACACUGAAUUGUACUUUUGAAACCUCGAACCCAAGUCCAUAUUUGUUCUGGUACAAACAAUCAGAAGGAAACAAAAGCCCCAAAUUCAUCCUGAGUCGCUUUAAAGUCGGUGAGGGGAAAACAGAGGAUGAAGAAAAAUAUUCAUCCACACUGGAUUCCAGCUUGAGAUCAGUUCCUCUGAAGAUCCAGAAGCUUGAGCUGUCUGACUCUGCUGUGUACUACUGUGCUCUGCAGCCCACAGUGACAGGAAACAGCUCAACUGUGGACGAAAACUCCCUCUUCACCACGAUGGACCAAUACAAUGACCACAUGACUGCAGACGCUGUCCAGAAAAACUCUGAACAGAACCGGUGA